UGGGGAAUAUUGCACAAUGGGCGCAAGCCUGAUGCAGCCAUGCCGCGUGUGUGAAGAAGGCCUUCGGGUUGUAAAGCACUUUCAGCGAGGAGGAAGGUGGGUGAACUUAAUACGUUCAUCAAUUGACGUUACUCGCAGAAGAAGCACCGGCUAACUCCGUGCCAGCAGCCGCGGUAAUACGGAGGGUGCAAGCGUUAAUCGGAAUUACUGGGCGUAAAGCGCACGCAGGCGGUUUGUUAAGUCAGAUGUGAAAUCCCCGGGCUCAACCUGGGAACUGCAUUUGAAACUGGCAAGCUAGAGUCUCGUAGAGGGGGGUAGAAUUCCAGGUGUAGCGGUGAAAUGCGUAGAGAUCUGGAGGAAUACCGGUGGCGAAGGCGGCCCCCUGGACGAAGACUGACGCUCAGGUGCG
rnacentral:rRNA from 1 species